CUCUAUGGCCAUGCCACCCUGAACAUGCCCGAUCUCGUCUGAUCUCGGAAGCUAACCAGGGUCGGGCCUGGUUAGUACUUGGAUGGGAGACCACCUAGGAAUACCAGAUGCUGUAGGCG
rnacentral:rRNA from 1 species